rnacentral:rRNA from 1 species
GUGUCAGCCGCCGCGGUAAUACGGAGGAUGCGAGCGUUAUCCGGAUUUAUUGGGUUUAAAGGGUGCGCAGGCGGGAUUUUAAGUCAGCGGUGAAAUUUUCAGGCUCAACCUGAACACUGCCGUUGAAACUGGGAUUCUUGAGUAUGGAUGAAGUAGGCGGAAUUCGUUGUGUAGCGGUGACAUGCUUAGAUAUAACGAGGAACUCCGAUUGCGUAGGCAGCUUACUAAGCCAUAACUGACGCUCAAGCACGAAAGCGUGGGGAUCAAACAGGAUUAGAUACCCUGGUAGUCCACGCCGUAAACGAUGAUUACUAGUUGUUUGCGAUAUACCGUAAGUGACUAAGCGAAAGCGAUAAGUAAUCCACCUGGGGAGUACGCCGGCAACGGUGAAACUCAAAGGAAUUGACGGGGGCCCGCACAAGCGGAGGAACAUGUGGUUUAAUUCGAUGAUACGCGAGGAACCUUACCCGGGCUUGAAAUGUACCUGACCGUCCUUGAAAAGGGACUUCUAGCAAUAGCAGGUAUGUAGGUGCUGCAUGGUUGUCGUCAGCUCGUGCCGUGAGGUGUCGGCUUAAGUGCCAUAACGAGCGCAACCCACAUUAUUAGUUACUAACAGGUUAAGCUGAGGACUCUAAUAAGACUGCCGUCGUAAGAUGCGAGGAAGGUGUGGAUGACGUCAAAUCAGCACGGCCCUUACGUCCGGGGCGACACACGUGUUACAAUGGGAGGUACAAAGGGCUGCUACCUGGUGACAGGAUGCUAAUCCCCAAAGCCUCUCCCAGUUCGGAUCGGAGUCUGCAACUCGACUCCGUGAAGCUGGAUUCGCUAGUAAUCGCGCAUCAGCCAUGGCGCGGUGAAUACGUUCCCGGGCCUUGUACACACCGCCCGUCAAGCCAUGGGAGCCGGGGGUAUCUGAAGUGCGUAACCGCAAGGAGCGUCCUAGGGUAAAAUGACUGGGGCUAAGUCGUAACAAGGUAACC